rnacentral:rRNA from 1 species
CAGUAGCCGCGGUAAUACAGAGGGUGCGAGCGUUAAUCGGAUUUACUGGGCGUAAAGCGUGCGUAGGCGGCUUUUUAAGUCGGAUGUGAAAUCCCUGAGCUUAACUUAGGAAUUGCAUUCGAUACUGGGAAGCUAGAGUAUGGGAGAGGAUGGUAGAAUUCCAGGUGUAGCGGUGAAAUGCGUAGAGAUCUGGAGGAAUACCGAUGGCGAAGGCAGCCAUCUGGCCUAAUACUGACGCUGAGGUACGAAAGCAUGGGGAGCAAACAGGAUUAGAUACCCCCGUAGUCCCUGUCUCUUAUAU